rnacentral:rRNA from 1 species
GACGUAGGGGGCAAGCGUUGUCCGGAAUCAUUGGGCGUAAAGCGCUCGUAGGUGGAUCGGUAAGUCUGCAAAGAAAGACCCGGGCUCAACUCGGGGAACGGUGUGGAUACUACCGAUCUUGAGGCAAUCAGAGGAUGAUGGAAUUCCUGGUGUAGCGGUGGAAUGCGCAGAUAUCAGGAGGAACACCGGUGGCGAAGGCGGGUCUCUGGGCAGUAACUGACGCUGAGGAGCGAAAGCGUGGGGAGCGAACAGG